AACACAUAAGUUUUUGCUUUUCACAGAUGGAUUCCUCCUGCAUUACCAAUAACCAAAAUUCUAGUACACGACAAAUAUUCUGGCUCCACACUUGCUGCUAGAAGGAGCAGCAUGUAGAACCUGAAUGAACACUGGUUGAUGCACAGAGGGUUGGGUUUGAGAAUAUGUUACAUGCUUUAACAUUAGAGAGAAUAUGUGGUUUUGUUCAGAUACCGUCAAUGCAACUUGCGAGGAAGAAGAUUGUUGUGAUAAAAGGAUUAUAUAUUAGGUGAAAAGUAAACUCCAUCAAUGCAUGAUGCAAGUGCUUCAGUAGUUGGAAGAAAUUCUGUGGAUAGUCAAUAGUGAAGCAUUGACAAAGGAUAUGCAUAAAAGAGGUGGAUUUUUUCUGAUUUUUCUGGAGCUAGUAGUUUGGAUUAGUUGAGUACAUACAGAAGUUCACAGGAUGCUUGGUUUGUGUCAAGGCUAGAUGGAUGCAGGGUGAUAACAGAGAUGUUUUGUAGUGGUUUAUGAACUUUGUGAACUGUUGGAGCAUAAUGUAACUGAUGUUAAGAUUAUUAAUUGAUAUAAUUUGGUGGCCCUAUGAAAUAUGCUAAAGUAGUAUCCUGAUCCCAUUUAGUGAUUUAAAUUAGUGCAAAAAAGAAUGAUCAUGUAAACUAAAUAUUUCUAAUGUAUUGUG